UAGGAUCAGUCUAUGAUUGGGGGAGGCAAGAGAAGAGUGAAUGUUUAUGAUUUAGGAUCAGUCUCUGAUUAGGGGAGAGGGGAGAGCAGUGAAUUUUUAUGAUUUAGGAUCAGUCUCUGAUUAGCAGAGGGGGAGAACAGCAAAUGUUUAUGAUCAGUCUGUGUUUGGGGAGAACAGCGAAUGUUUAUGGUUAGGAUCAGUCUCUGAUUGGGGAAGGGGGAGAACAGUGAAUGUUUAUGAUUUAGGAUCAGUCUUUGAUUGGGGGAGGGCGGAGAACAGUGAAUGUUUAUGAUCAGUCUGUGUUUGGGAGGGGGGAGAAGAGUGAAUGUUUAUGAUUUAGGAUCAGUUGCUGAUUGGGGAAAGGGGGAGAACAGUGAAUGUUUAUGGUUCAGAUCAGUCUCUGAUUGGGGAGGGAGGGGAACAGCGAAUGUUUAUGGUUAGGAUCAGUCUGUGUUUGGGGGACGGGGAGAACAGUGAAUGUUUAUGAGUUAGGAUCAUUCUCUGAUUGGCGGAGGGGGUAGAACAGUGAAUGUUAAUUAUCAGUCUCUGAUUGGGGGAAGGGGGAGAACAGUGAAUGUUUAAGGUUCAGAUCAGUCUCUGAUUGGGGGAGAGAGGGGGACAUUUAAUGUUUAUGGUUUAGGAUCAGUCUCUGAUUGGGGGAGUGGAGAGAACAGCAAAUGUUUAUGAUUUAGGAUCAGUCUGUGGUUGGGGGAGGGCGGAUAACAGCGAAUGUUUAUCGUUUAGGAUCAGUUUGGGGAGAACUGUGAAUGGUUAUGAUUUAGGAUCAGUCUGUGUUUUGGGGAGAACAGUGAAU